rnacentral:rRNA from 1 species
AACGAACACUGGCGGCAUGCCUAACACAUGCAAGUCGAACGCCCGUAGCAAUACGGGAGUGGCAGACGGGUGCAUAACACGUGGGAACCUACCCUAGGGUUCGGAAUAACCGCGGGAAACUGCGGCUAAUACCGGAUACGUCCUCUGGGGGAAAGAUUUAUCGCCCUUGGAGGGGCCCGCGUCGGAUUAGCUAGUUGGUGAGGUAACGGCUCACCAAGGCGACGAUCCGUAGCUGAUUUGAGAGGAUGAUCAGCCACACUGGAACUGAGACACGGUCCAGACUCCUACGGGAGGCAGCAGUGGGGAAUAUUGGACAAUGGGCGCAAGCCUGAUCCAGCAAUGCCGCGUGGGUGAUGAAGGCCUUCGGGUUGUAAAGCCCUUUUGGCAGGGACGAUGAUGACGGUACCUGCAGAAUAAGCCCCGGCUAACUUCGUGCCAGCCGCCGCGGUAA